GACCUCAAAUCAGGUAGGACUACCCGCUGAACUUAAGCAUAUCAAUAAGCGGAGGAAAAGAAACCAACAGGGAUUCCCUUAGUAGCGGCGAGCGAACUGGGAUGAGCUCAAAUUUAAAAUCUGACCUUUUGGUCCGAGUUGUAAUUUGAAGAGUCAGUUUCGGCACCGGCUGUGUCCAAGUCCCUUGGAACAGGGCAUCAUGGAGGGUGAUAAUCCCGUGCUUGACACAAUCACCGGAGCCAUAAGAAACCGUCUCAAAGAGUCGAGUUGUUUGGGAAUGCAGCUCUAAAUGGGUGGUAAAUUCCAUCUAAGGCUAAAUAUUGGCGAGAGACCGAUAGCAUACAAGUACCGUGAGGGAAAGAUGAAAAGCACUUUGGAAAGAGAGUUAAACAGCACGUGAAAUUGUUGAAAGGGAAACGAUUGAAGUCAGUCUUGUUGAACAGGCUCAGCUACCCCAGGUAGUGUAUUCCUGUUUAGCGGGCCAACAUCGGUUAGGGAUGGUGGAUAAGGGAGGUGGGAAAGUAGCACCCCGGUGUAUUAUAGCCCGCCGUCGUACACACCAAUUCUGACCGAGGAAUGCAGCUUGCCUUUAUGGCCGGGGUUUGCCCUCGUACAAGCUUAGGAUGUUGGCAUAAUGGCUUUAACCGACCCGUCUUGAAACACGGACCAAGGAGUCUAACAUAUCUGCGAGUGUUUGGGUGUCAAACCCAAGCGCGUAAUGAAAGUAACAAAAGGGAUCCCUCACGGGUGCACCUUUGACCGAUCUUGAGCUUUUGCAACGGAUUUGAGUAAGAGCAUAUAUGCUGGGACCCGAAAGAUGGUGAACUAUGCCUGAAUAGGGUGAAGCCAGGGGAAACUCUGGUGGAAGCUCGUAGCGAUUCUGACGUGCAAAUCGAUCGUCAAAUUUGGGUAUAGGGGCGAAAGACUAAUCGAACCAUUGGCAUGCUUAGGUGGUUAAGAGGGAUGUUGAGAAGCAUUCCUAGUCCUGCGUUACAAGGGCAAGAGCGUCAAAUUGCGGGGACGUCCUAAAGCUUUCAAGUACCAUAUACUCAACCGAAAGGUUAAGAGUGUGACCCAGGGUAAUGACCUAGGAUUUGGUAAUAACCUUGAAAGAUUCUGCAAUGGAUUAUCCGCAGCCCAGUCUUUAAAGUCAAAGACCUGGUUCACAGACUAAAUGGCGUUCGGCAAGGCUUGAGGGCCUUGUUUAAGAUAUAGUCGGUUCACCAGAGGAAUCUGGUCUGUCAUGGGUUGAACCUUGAUAGGGG
rnacentral:rRNA from 1 species